UACGUAGGGUGCAAGCGUUGUCCGGAAUUAUUGGGCGUAAAGAGCUCGUAGGCGGUCUGUCACGUCGGCUGUGAAAACCCGGGGCUCAACCCCGGGCCUGCAGUCGAUACGGGCAGACUAGAGUGCGGUAGGGGAGACUGGAAUUCCUGGUGUAGCGGUGAAAUGCGCAGAUAUCGGGAGGAACACCAGUAGCGAAGGCGGCACUCUGGGCCGUGACUGACGCUGAGGAGCGAAAGCGUGGGUAGCAAACAGG
rnacentral:rRNA from 1 species